rnacentral:rRNA from 1 species
UACGUAGGGGGCAAGCGUUGUCCGGAUUUAUUGGGCGUAAAGAGCGUGUAGGCGGCCAGAUAGGUCCGUUGUGAAAACUCGAGGCUCAACCUCGAGACGCCGAUGGAAACCAUUUGGCUAGAGUCCGGAAGAGGAGAGUGGGAAUUCCGUGGUGUAGCGGUGAAAUGCGCAGAUAUCAGGAAGAACACCCGUGGCUAAGGCGGCUCUCUAGUACGGUACUGACGCUGAGACGCGAAAGCGUGGGGGAGCGAAACAGG